UAUGCUAGAUGAAAAUCAAUUGGAAGAAGAGAGAAGACUUUGCUAUGUAGGUAUGACUAGGGCGAAACAAAUUUUAUAUAUUACCUAUGCAAA
rnacentral:sRNA from 1 species